rnacentral:rRNA from 1 species
AUUGAACGCUGGCGGCAUGCCUUACACAUGCAAGUCGAACGGCAGCACGGGGGCAACCCUGGUGGCGAGUGGCGAACGGGUGAGUAAUGCAUCGGAACGUGCCCAGUAGUGGGGGAUGACCAGUCGAAAGACUGGCUAAUACCGCAUACGACCCAAGGGUGAAAGCGGGGGCCCGUAAGGCCUCGCGCUAUUGGAGCGGCCGAUGUCUGAUUAGCUAGUUGGCGGGGUAAGAGCCCACCAAGGCGACGAUCAGUAGCUGGUCUGAGAGGACGACCAGCCACACUGGGACUGAGACACGGCCCAGACUCCUACGGGAGGCAGCAGUGGGGAAUUUUGGACAAUGGGCGCAAGCCUGAUCCAGCCAUGCCGCGUGCGGGAAGAAGGCCUUCGGGUUGUAAACCGCUUUUGGCAGGAACGAAACGGCGCAGGCCAAUACCUUGCGCUAAUGACGGUACCUGCAGAAUAAGCACCGGCUAACUACGUGCCAGCCGCCGCCGUAAGAC